ACACUACUGAGGAGUUCAACAAUAGGACGAAAUGGCCAUCUAGUGC
rnacentral:hammerhead_ribozyme from 1 species